UACGUAGGGGGCGAGCGUUGUCCGGAUUUAUUGGGCGUAAAGAGCGUGUAGGCGGCCAGGUAGGUCUGCUGUGAAAACUCGAGGCUCAACCUCGAGACGUCGGCGGAAACCAUCUGGCUAGAGUCCGGAAGAGGAGAGUGGAAUUCCUGGUGUAGCGGUGAAAUGCGCAGAUAUCAGGAAGAACACCCGUGGCGAAGGCGACUCUCUGGGACGGUACUGACGCUGAGGCACGACAGCGUGGGGAGCAAACAGG
rnacentral:rRNA from 1 species